rnacentral:rRNA from 1 species
UAGCUGGUCUGAGAGGAUGAUCAGCCACACUGGAACUGAGACACGGUCCAGACUCCUACGGGAGGCAGCAGUGGGAAUAUUGCACAAUGGGCGGAAGCCUGAUGCAGCGACGCCGCGUGAGGGAUGACGGCCUUCGGGUUGUAAACCUCCUUCAGCAGGGACGAAGCGCAAGUGACGGUACCUGCAGAAGAAGCGUCGGCCAACUACGUGCCAGCAGCCGCGGUAAGACGUAGGGCGCGAGCGUUGUCCGGAUUUAUUGGGCGUAAAGAGCUCGUAGGCGGCUUGUCGCGUCGGCUGUGAAAACCCGUGGCUCAACUGCGGGCUUGCAGCCGAUACGGGCAGGCUAGAGUUCGGUAGGGGAGACUAAAUUCCUGGUGUAGCGGUGAAAUGCGCAGAUAUCAGGAGGAACACCGGUGGCGAAGGCGGGUCUCUGGGCCGAUACUGACGCUGAGGAGCGAAAGCGUGGGGAGCGAACAGGAUUAGAUACCCUGGUAGUCCACGCUGUAAACGUUGGGCGCUAGGUGUGGGGGACCUCUCCGGUUCUCUGUGCCGCAGCUAACGCAUUAAGCGCCCCGCCUGGGGAGUACGGCCGCAAGGCUAAACUCAAAGGAAUUGACGGGGGCCCGCACAAGCGGCGGAGCAUGCGGAUUAAUUCGAUGCAACGCGAAGAACCUUACCUGGGUUUGACAUCACCGCAAAACUUCCAGAGAUGGGAGGUCCUUCGGGGGCGGUGACAGGUGGUGCAUGGCUGUCGUCAGCUCGUGUCGUGAGAUGUUGGGUUAAGUCCCGCAACGAGCGCAACCCUCGUUCGAUGUUGCCAGCGGGUUAUGCCGGGGACUCAUCGAAGACUGCCGGGGUCAACUCGGAGGAAGGUGGGGAUGACGUCAAGUCAUCAUGCCCCUUAUGUCCAGGGCUUCACGCAUGCUACAAUGGCCGGUACAAUGGGCUGCGAUACCGCAAGGUGGAGCGAAUCCCAAAAAGCCGGUCUCAGUUCGGAUCGGGGUCUGCAACUCGACCCCGUGAAGUCGGAGUCGCUAGUAAUCGCAGAUCAGCAACGCUGCGGUGAAUACGUUCCCGGGCCUUGUUCACACCGCCCGUCACGUCACGAAAGUCGGCAACACCCGAAGCCGGUGGCCCAACCCUUGUGGAGGGAGCCGUCGAAGGUGGGGCUGGCGAUUGGGACGAAGUCGGAACAAGGUAGCCGUACCGGAAGGUGCGGCUG